GUCGGCUCAAACCAGAGCCAGCCCAGACCCGUCCUCGCUCGGUUCAACUUUGCGCCGUCGUCGUGCGAUCGGACGGCUGUUGUGGACGUGUGGCCUCAAAGUAGGGUGCGCCGUGCUCAUCGUCUUGUCCGACAGAAGAGUCGCUCCAACUGUCCAACCACAGCUCCGCGCCGCCGCCGAGGACGACAAAGGCGUCCCGCUGUUCUUGUUGGGCGCCUCUUCGGAGGUUGGAUAAUUGAACAUGAGAACCUAUAGCCAUCUUUGGUCGACGACCAAGAGGAGUGCAAUGGCGUUUGUAAUUGGCGUCUCCAUUUCUGACCGUUGGGCGAAUUUCACUUGGGUGACUGGCGAAUCCAUGUAUCCUACGUUUACGGCCGCCAAUAGCUUCUGGGGAGGUGAUUUCGUUUUAGCAGAAAAGAGGUGCCUUGAGCAGUGCAAGUUCUCACAUGGUGAUGUGAUUUUGUUCAAGUGCCCUAGCAAUCAUAAGGAGAUGCUUGUGAAGAGGUUGAUUGGGCUUCCUGGUGAGAAGAUACAGCUCCCUGGGUCCCUUAACCCUACUAAGAUCCCAGAAGGGCAUUGCUGGGUUGAAGGUGAUAACUCUACUCGUAGCUGGGAUUCUAGGGCAUUCGGUCCGGGUAUGCUGUGUGCGAUUUAAAAAGGUCAGUUACCAGCAAUGCUACUUGAUAUAAAUUUUGAAAACUCCUGGAGUGUUCCUUUUGUGGGAAAGUUUGGACAUGCUCCACUGCCAUUUUAAAGUGAGACUGGGUGCCUAUAUAUCAUAUAUGUAUGUGGAGCAUCUGAGUUGGAAAUGUCAUUAACCCCUGUAUAAUAUAUGGUAUUGCAUUCAUCUUUGCUGGAAUAUCUAAGAAUAAUGCUAUAUGCAGUAUAUCUUCAAUCAUUCAGAUUUGCAUGGUGAGCUGUAGUUAUUGGCUUAUUGCAAGAUACUACAUUGUCUCUUGUUGCCUCUUCAAUGGAAUUUUAUUAUUCUUUAGUUUUCGCCUGAAAUGAAAUUGAUGCACCAUAUGCUUGUAGCCAGUGAAAGCUCCUAAGGAACCCUUUGGAUCAAACUGCACAAACUAUGGGUGUGUUUGGUUUGACUUUUGGCUUUGGCUUUUGCCACCUAAAAGCCAAAAGCCAACCAAAGGGCUGGAUCUAGGAAGCAGCUUUUUCUAAAAGCUGACUUUCUCACAGUGCAAAUCUGAAAGCACCCCUAAACCUGCUUUUAGUGACUUUUCGGAUGGAACUGUGAAAACAUAUAUCGAAGAACUUUUAACGACUUUUAGUGAUUUCCACCAAACGGUUUUUAGCUUUUUAACGACUCACAGCCUACAACAGCUUUUUCCACAGCUCACAGCCCACAGCAACUUUUUUCACAGCCACAGCUCAACCAAACAGACCCUAUAUACCAAUGAGAACAAAAAAAACUGAAAAACAGGGAAUAAAGCGAAACUACAACAGUUAUAGGACAGAAGGGCAGACCUGGUGCAAUGAUGAGAGCUGUCUCACUCCAUGUCGUAGGUUCGAACUUCAAAGCAGCCUCCUCAUUUGCAGGGGAAGGCUUGCCUUAGUUUAUCCUAUCCCCCGACCUGCUAAUAUGGGAGCCUGUGACACUGGGUCUGCCCUACAACAGUUAUAGGACAACCUAUAUCUCAACAGGCAAGUACAUUAUUGCACCACAAGUUAGGAGCACACACUUUGUGUCCUUGGUGAUAAUGUUUGAGGCUCAACAAGUUGCAAUGAUUUCUUCCUAUUUAUGUUACUGUAUUGCAAUCAUAGAACUGCCAACAAAAUUUUGUUCCCUUUUCUGAAAAAAAUGUGUUGCAUUGACUGCCAAGUAUGAAACUAUUGAGUUAUAAAUCUGCUACCAAUGAGCUUCGUUGUGUGCUUGUUUAGACAGAUACUGGUUUUCUUCAGUAAUCAUCAGUUCAAAUGUGUCCAUGCUGUACAACUAGUGAACAGUUAGUAGAGCUGUAGAGGAGAUGGUGAGAAAGCAUAAAUUCGGCACAGUUCAUUCUUGGCUUCAAAUUUUGUGCUUCUGUCUGCUUCCCAGAGAGUGCAUCCUUUGUCAAUAGUUCAGAUAACUCAUUACAACAGCUGCAUAUCAGAAACCAAUACCAUAUGUUGGUGACAAAUUAUGCUGCAUCAGUAUGACUUAUUUUGUAUUUGUGCUUGUUCUUCAGAUUCCCUUAGGUCUAGUUCAAGGGCGGGUUACGCACAUAAUCUGGCCUCCGUCGAGGAUAGGCCGGCUGGAGAGAAAGAUGCAUGAAGGGAGAAUUUCACCUGAUUGAUCUUACUCCCGACUACAUUGGAUGACCAUUCAUGUCCAGAUAAACCUGCUCAAUUACCAUUUAUUGUCAAAAAAUCAUAAGUUUUGUAAAGCCAUGAAUGUAUACUUGCCCCAGUAGUUGUAUUGUGAUAUUGUGUUCUGGGAUCUUAAAAAAACCAUUUAUAGUGCCUUUUUUUA